ACGGACAUACAGUAGCAACUUAACACCUCCAUUGAUUCCAGAACCAGUAACAAGUACAAAGUGCCAAUUACAGUUAAAUCAAAGCCAAAACCAAAAGAAGACUGGGGGAGAGGCAAGCAACCCAAUUCACAGAAACAAAAUUACCUGGAACCAUUGAACCAAAGACAACCAAAGAAAGAGAGGUGACAGAAGCUAAAGGAUUAAGUAGAGGGAAAGGCAAGCAACCCAAUUCACAAGGGGGAAUGCACCGACAAAUGGUUUUCACUUGCCACUUGUUGGCCUGUCACCUUCAUAGUUCAUUCCAAUAACAUGCAGCAGAUGAUAUAUGAUCCUUGCAUUUAUCUGCCAAGAUUCAAUCUCUAGAUCGACAAUAUACUGCAUGCUCUUAUCACAUAUCUUCUCUAUACCUCCUAUUUUGCACUCAACAAAUCCUUCUAAAUCUUUUCCACUGGUCUACCAAAUUCCAUUUGGUAAAGUUCUAAAUUAAAUCAAUACCAUGUAUUCUCAUGUCAAACCAGGGUUCUCAAUUUCGAUAUGUACUGUCCGGGACGAGCAGUAUGUACCGGUCCGAGAGAAUACUGGAACGCGGACCGUCCUCCACUAGACAGUACCAAUGUUUUGACCAGUACCGAGGCAUAACGAUCGGUACCACCCCAGAUUUCGAUCGUUACCAAGGCAUACCGAUCGGUAUACCCUGGCGUGAUAGGCGAAGGUAUUUUUAAGGUUUUAGGAUGUACCAUCAGUACACCCUAGUGUAUCGACA
rnacentral:lncRNA from 1 species